UACGAAGGGGGCUAGCGUUGCUCGGAAUCAUUGGGCGUAAAGCGCACGUAGGCGGUCUGUUAUGUCGGAUGUGAAAGCCCUCGGCUCAACUGAGGAAGUGCAUCCGAAACUGGCAGGCUAGAGUACUAAAGAGGGUCGCGGAAUUCCCGGUGUAGAGGUGAAAUUCGUAGAUAUCGGGAGGAACACCGGUGGCGAAGGCGGCGACCUGGGUAGAUACUGACGCUGAGGUGCGAAAAGCGUGGGGAGCAAACAGG
rnacentral:rRNA from 1 species